rnacentral:rRNA from 1 species
AUACGUAGGGGGCAAGCGUUGUCCGGAAUUAUUGGGCGUAAAGCGCGCGCAGGCGGCUUUGUAAGUCCGGUGUUUAAUCUUGGGGCUCAACCCCAAGUCGCACGGGAAACUGCAAGGCUUGAGUGCAGAAGAGGAAAGUGGAAUUCCACGUGUAGCGGUGAAAUGCGUAGAGAUGUGGAGGAACACCAGUGGCGAAGGCGACUUUCUGGGCUGUAACUGACGCUGAGGCGCGAAAGCGCGGGGAGCAAACAGGAUUAGAUACCCUGGUAGUCCACGCCGUAAACGAUGAGUGCUAGGUGUUAGGGGUUUCGAUGCCCUUAGUGCCGAAGUUAACACAUUAAGCACUCCGCCUGGGGAGUACGACCGCAAGGUUGAA